AUUGGGAAGAGACCAUGAAGGAAAGAGAGGAGAACAAGAUCCUAAUACCUUAAGCCUUUUUCCUCUCAUUUUUUGAUCUUUUUCUUUCGUUAUUGAUCAAAGUUUCUUUGCUUACCGCUAGUUUCCCUUCUCAAUUUUUAGUGAAGAAGAGUCCAAGAGCACAAAGCAGAGCAGAGACCAAAGGUCACCAUGCCAGUCGUAAUCUCGG
rnacentral:misc_RNA from 1 species